rnacentral:rRNA from 1 species
GACGAACGCUGGCGGCGUGCCUAAUACAUGCAAGUCGAACGCAGUGGGGACGGGUGAGUAACACGUGGGUAACCUCCCAUCAGAGGGCAUAACACUUGGAAACUGGUGCUAAACCGCUACUGAUGGAUGAACUCGCGGUGCAUUAGCUAGUUGGUGAGAUAACGGCCCACCAAGGCCACGAUGCAUAGCCGACCUGAGAGGGUGAUAGGCCAAACUGGGACUGAGACACGGCCAAGACUCCUAAGGGAGGCAGCAGGAGGGAAGCUUCGGCAAUGGGCGAAAGUCUGACCGAGCAACGCCGCGUGAAUGAAGAAGGUUUUCGGAUCGUAAAACUCUGUUGUUAGAGAGGCGGUAUCUAACCAGAAAGCCACGGCUAACUACGUGCCAGCCGCCGCGGUAAUGC